rnacentral:rRNA from 1 species
AGAGUUUGAUCCUGGCUCAGAACGAACGCUGGCGGCGUGCCUCAUACAUGCAAGUCGAGCGAGAAAGUAUCCUUCGGGGUGCGAGUAAAGCGGCAAACGGGUGAGUAACACGUGGGAAAUCUGCCCUUGGGUUGAGGAUAAGCUCUCGAAAGAGGGUCUAAUACUGAAUGACGUCAUUGAUUCGCAUGUUUCGAUGACCAAAGCAGCGAUGCGCCGAAGGAUGAUCCCGCGUCCCAUUAGCUAGUUGGCAGGGUAAUAGCCUACCAAGGCGACGAUGGGUAGCCGGCCUGAGAGGGUGUCCGGCCACACUGGGACUGAGAUACGGCCCAGACUCCUACGGGAGGCAGCAGUAGGGAAUAUUGCGCAAUGGCCUAACGGCUGACGCAGCAACGCCGCGUGGACGAUGAAGUUCUUCGGAAUGUAAAGUCCUUUCAGUGGGGACGAACGUGUCUUCGGAUGCUUGACUGUACCCACAGAAGAAGUCCCGGCUAACUCCGUGCCAGCAGCCGCGGUAAUACGGGGGGGACGAGCGUUGUUCGGAUUUACUGGGCGUAAAGCGCACGCAGGCGGGCUAUCAUGUCGGAUGUGAAAACCAGAAGCUUAACUUCUGGCCUGCAUUCGAAACGGGUAGUCUUGAGUACCGGAGAGGAUGGCGGAAUUCCUGGUGUAGCGGUGAAAUGCGUAGAUAUCAGGAAGAACACCGGUGGCGAAGGCGGCCAUCUGGACGGAUACUGACGCUCAGGUGCGAAGGCUAGGGGAGCAAACAGGAUUAGAUACCCUGGUAGUCCUAGCGGUAAACUAUGGGCACUAGGUGUUGGUGGUAUCGACCCCAUCAGUGCCGCAGUUAACACAUUAAGUGCCCCGCCUGGGGAGUACGGCCGCAAGGUUGAAACUCAAAGGAAUUGACGGGGGCCCGCACAAGCGGUGGAGUAUGUGGUUUAAUUCGACGCAACGCGAAGAACCUUACCUGGGUUUGACAUGCACUGGAAAACUACAGAGAUGUAGUCCCCUCUUCGGAGGUCGGUGCACAGGUGCUGCAUGGCUGUCGUCAGCUCGUGCCGUGAGGUGUUGGGUUAAGUCCCGCAACGAGCGCAACCCUUGUCCUUAGUUGCCAUCAGGUUAUGCUGGGAACUCUAAGGAGACUGCCGGUGACAAGCCGGAGGAAGGUGGGGAUGACGUCAAGUCCUCAUGGCCCUUACAUCCAGGGCUACACACGUACUACAAUGGCCGGUACAGUGGGUCGCAAGACCGCAAGGUGGAGCUAAUCCUCAAAGCCGGCCUCAGUUCAGAUUGGAGUCUGCAACCCGACUCCAUGAAGGUGGAAUCGCUAGUAAUCGCAGAUCAGCACGCUGCGGUGAAUACGUUCCCGGGCCUUGUACACACCGCCCGUCAAGCCAUGGGAGCUGGGGGGACCCGAAGUCACCGAUCUAACGCAAGAUGACGGUGCCUAAGGUAAAACCAGCGACUGGGGCUAAGUCGAAACAAGGUA